rnacentral:lncRNA from 1 species
CUCUGUAAGUUGCCAUGCCAAAUGCCAAAUCGUUAUUAAUUAGCUUUGAUAUCUUGGUUUUGUUAUUUUGACUGGAUUUGAUACGCAGUCAUCCGAGGACGAUGGGCAAGGUGGGAGAAGGAAGAAAGGGAUGAAGGAGAAGAUAAAAGAGAGGAUACCGGGCAUGGGACGCAAGGACGAGCAGAAGCAUACGAGCGCCACAAGUACGCCGGGGCAGGGGCAGCAACAGAAAGGAAUGAUGGAGAAGAUCAAGGAGAAGCUGCCUGGGGGCCACUAGGUGUGUCUGGAAAUGAAGGGGACGUGGUCUAAUCGUUUGUAACUGAAACGAGAGUCUAGGUCCAUAGGUCAUAGGUGAAUGGGUGAUGCAUAAGCGUUUGGUUAUGAACCAGACGAGUCUAAAUUGAGUUAAUAAAUUGCUGGACUGCUGCUAUAUGCAGCCCGGCAUCUGCUUUCUGCUUUCUCAAUGUAGUCCCUGUAUGCCUGUCCUCUUCGUAUAUUAGUAGCUGAGUGCUUAUUAAUGCUACACUUAUGUUGUCAUUUUUCAUAAACUAGAUUUUGUUUUGGUGUUACCACCCCCAAUCUGACUUCAUGCUUAAGCGCAAGUUUAUCGUGCUUUAAUUUGAU